rfam:Endozoicomonas sp. (ex Bugula neritina AB1) isolate AB1-5 ACH42_contig000212, whole genome shotgun sequence.
AAUCCCGCGAGGGCUUGUGCGGAGGAAGUCUGACCGCACCAACAGUAGGCGCUUUAGGCGAAAGUACGAGCCGACGAACAGACAAAAUAGCAGGAGCCAUUUUGAACAGCUUCAGCUGGCCCAAAGGGUGAACCCAGGGAUGUAGUGAAUAAAUCGCAUACAAGGCCGAGUCUCGUGGGCGAGUGAGCCAAAGAUCACAAAGCCCUCUGGUUUGAGAGAUACGGUAAAUGCGGCGGCUGUGUACGGACAGUUCAUGUU